CUUGGUCAUUUAGAGGAAGUAAAAGUCGUAACAAGGUUCAACAUCGAGUACGGUUUUCGAUGUUUACGCGUUUGUAAGCAAAACUACAACAAGUAAGCAUUAUCACCUUCGAAGCCUUGAAUUUCAGUCAAUCUUAAGAAUUGGCAACAUCAGUCUGUUGCUAGGCUUAACUUUAAAUUGUUUAACUAGCAGUCGCAAAUGUGAUUCACAGGUCAAACACUGGUGGUUCGCUUCUCAAUUACAAACUCGUCUUUGUGGAAUGCUUGUUUUGGGACGUAUUGUUAUUGAGGCUCGUCAAAAGUGAAUUUAGAUAUGAUCGGUCAAUCUUUGUUAAGAAGUUUGAUUAAACGUUCCGUAGGUGAACCUGCGGAAGGAUCAUUAAUGAGUUAGGGUCCUCCAGGCCCGACCUCCAACCCUCUGUUUAACUACCAUGUUGCUUUGGCGGGCCCGUCUUUAACCGGACCGUUGGGGGUUUUAAAACCUCUGGUCAGUGCCCGUCAGUAGCCUACCACAAAUACUUUUUAACCAUGUUAUAUCUGAAAAAUAGUUAAAUAAACUAAAACUUUCAACAACGGAUCUCUUGGUUCUGGCAUCGAUGAAGAACGCAGCGAAAUGCGAUAAGUAAUGCGAAUUGCAGAAUUCAGUGAGUCAUCGAAUCUUUGAACGCACAUUGCGCCCUUUAGUAUUCUGAAGGGCAUGCCUGUUCGAGCGUCAUUAUCACUAAUCAAGCCUGGCUUGCUGUUGGACCUCUUGUCGUUAAAACCGACGGGCCCUAAAGAUAAUGACGGCGUUAUUUGGACCCUAGAUGCAACGAGCUUUCAUUAGCACGCGUUUAGUCGGGACCUUUUAACCCGGUCUUUUUUUAAACCAAUUUUCUAAGGUUGACCUCGGAUCAGGUAGGAAUACCCGCUGAACUUAAGCAUAUCAAUAAGCGGAGGAAAAGAAACCAACAGGGAUUACCUCAGUAACGGCGAGUGAAGCGGUAAUAGCUCAAAUUUGAAAUCUGGCUCUUUUAGGGUCCGAGUUGUAAUUUGUAGAGGAUGUUUCGGACACGGCUACGGUUUAAAUUUCUUGGAACAGAAUGUCAUAGAGGGUGAGAGUCCCGUCUUGAACCGAUUGCUUCGUCCAUGUGAAACUCCUUCGACGAGUCGAGUUGUUUGGGAAUGCAGCUCAAAAUGGGUGGUAAAUUUCAUCUAAAGCUAAAUAUUGGCCAGAGACCGAUAGCGCACAAGUAGAGUGAUCGAAAGAUGAAAAGCACUUUGAAAAGAGAGUUAAACAGUAUGUGAAAUUGUUGAAAGGGAAGCGCUUGUAAUCAGACUUGAGCUUAACAGUUCCCCCUUCGUUCUCGUUGGGUUAUUCUGUUUUGUCCAGGCCAACAUCAGUUCAGGUGGUUGGUUAAAGACUUUGGGAAUGUAUCUACCCUCCGGGGUCGACUUAUAGCCUAGAGUGUCAUACAGCCUACUUGGACUGAGGAACGCGCUUCGGCUCGGAUGUUGGCGUAAUGGUUAUAAGCGACCCGUCUUGAAACACGGACC
rnacentral:rRNA from 1 species